UGUUAACAGGCAACACACAGUAGGG
rnacentral:misc_RNA from 1 species